AUUGAACGCUGGCGGCAGGCCUAACACAUGCAAGUCGAGCGAGCGGCGGACGGGUGAGUAAUGCCUAGGAAUCUGCCUGGUAGUGGGGGAUAACUACUGGAAACGGUGGCUAAUACCGCAUACUAUCGGAUGAACCCAUAUGGGAUUAGCUAGUAGGUGGGGUAAAGGCUCACCUAGGCGACGAUCUCUAGCUGGUCUGAGAGGAUGAUCAGCCACACUGGGACUGAGACACGGCCCAGACUCCUACGGGAGGCAGCAGUAGGGAAUCUUCGGCAAUGGACGAAAGUCUGACCGAGCAACGCCGCGUGAGUGAAGAAGGUUUUCGGGUUGUAAACUCCUUUCACCAUCGACGCGGUAGAUGGAGAAGAAGCACCGGCUAACUACGUGCCAGCAGCCGCGGUAAUUC
rnacentral:rRNA from 1 species